GCGGAUGUGGCGGAACUGGCAGACGCGCAGGUCUCAGAAGCCUGUGGGGUAACACCCGUGGAGGUUCGAGUCCUCUCAUCCGCACCA
rnacentral:tRNA from 1 species